GAUGAACGCUGGCGGCGUGCCUAAUACAUGCAAGUCGAGCGAACGGACGAGAAGCUUGCUUCUCUGAUGUUAGCGGCGGACGGGUGAGUAACACGUGGAUAACCUACCUAUAAGACUGGGAUAACUUCGGGAAACCGGAGCUAAUACCGGAUAAUAUUUUGAACCGCAUGGUUCAAAAGUGAAAGACGGUCUUGCUGUCACUUAUAGAUGGAUCCGCGCUGCAUUAGCUAGUUGGUAAGGUAACGGCUUACCAAGGCAACGAUGCAUAGCCGACCUGAGAGAGUGAUCGGCCACACUGGAACUGAGACACGGUCCAGACUCCUACGGGAGGCAGCAGUAGGGAAUCUGCCGCAAUGGACGAAAGCCUGACGGAGCAACGCCGCGUGAGUGAUGAAGGUCUUCGGAUCGUAAAACUCUGUUAUUAGGGAAGAACAUAUGUGUAAGUAACUGUGCACAUCUUGACGGUACCUAAUCAGAAAGCCACGGCUAACUACGUG
rnacentral:rRNA from 1 species